UCCAAGUCACUCAUUUUCAGGUAGUCUCUGACAAAUAUGCGCGCAGGUGGAAUGGAACGCUCUAAUGCCCCUCUGGAGCACGUUUCCUUCAUUUUGUUCGAUCUUGGGCUUCCCUAAUUCUGGCCGUAGAGAGAAGAAUAGCAAGCAUCGAUCUGUUGUCUUCGUAGACAUGUGGUGGUUGUUCAGCAGGAAGGGAACCUCUGGGUUCUCAGCUGCUUCGACGGCAGAGGAAGUCACAGAGGGAAUAAAUGGGACUGGCCUCACUGCCAUCGUUACUGGAGCAUCAAGUGGAAUUGGUGCCGAAACAUGCCGGGUUCUCGCAUUGCGUGGUGUGCAUGUAGUAAUGGCAGACAUAAAUCUGUCUACCGGUUCCAGUGUCAAAGAAGCAAUCAUGAAGGAAAUUCCUACUGCUAAAAUCGAUGUCAUGGAACUAGACCUCAGCUCAAUGGCAUCUAUUAGAAAAUUUGUAGAAAAUUUCAAUAUGCUGAAUCUCCCACUUAACAUCCUCAUCAACAAUGCAGGAGUUGCGCUGGUUCCAUUCUUGCUUUCCCAGGAUGGCAUUGAGCUGCAUUUUGCGACCAACUACUUGGGUCAUUUUCUUUUGACAAAUCUUUUAUUGGAAAACAUGAGAAUUACAGCGCACAAAAAUGGUAUAGAAGGAAGAAUUGUUAUUGUCUCCUCUGUAGGUUACAAGGUUACAUAUCAUGAAGGAAUUCGUUUUGACCGAAUCAAUGAAAAGUCAGGGUAUUAUAGUUUUCUUGCUUAUGGACAAUCGAAGCUUGCCAACAUAUUGCAUGCUCGUGAGCUUUCUAACCAUCUUAAGGAACAAGGGAUAGAAGUUACAGUUAAUUCACUUCAUCCAGGGGUUAUUGCCACCAAUAUAUUGCAGCAUCAAAGGUUUUGGAAUGAGUGAGUAUUUGGAUCAUCAUCAUCAUCAUCAAAGCCUUUUACUAUCAAUCUGGCUAUAGUGCAAGAACUUUUUAAAUUGUGAAGCCUCCAUGGAAGGAUUGAGCAAGUUCUGCAAUCAGUUAUCAGUUGGACAACAACACUCCAGAAAUUGGUGUUAUAUUCCUGGCCAAGGCAAAUCUAAGCAACAGGGGAGAUCACCACAAAACUUUUAAGGCUAGUUAGGAGGCUGAAAGAUUUAUCUUACUGGUCAUCAUUUUAAGUUAUCUUAAAGAGCAACCCUUUCCUCGACUUGGAAAGAUUCUAAAUGAAGAUCGAAGAUUGUGACUUUUGAUAUGGGGAGUUGUGUUCAUCUCCACAUAAAUGAGCAAAAGAGCCAAAUGAAACACUGAACCAAGUAUUGUCACCGCAGUCAGCAAAUAUGUGUUGAAUGUGAUGAAAAAUGUUCAACAGGGUGCGGCCACAACAUGUUACUUGGCAUUGCAUCCACAAGUCCAGGGAGUGAGUGGUAGGUAUUUUGUUGACUGCAAUGAAGCCGAACUUAAAUCUCAUGCUGCUGACACGAAUCUGGCGAAGAAGCUAUGGGAUUUUAGCAUGGGUUCGAUCAGUUAAUGUAAGUAUACCAAUGUUGUUGCUUUCUUUCCAAAUGCUGGAUGUGGGAUUUGUAUAAGCAUUAUACAUUUACUAGGAACACAAAAUGGAGGGAAGGACCUGAACCAUGGGCUUCAAUAACUUUGUUUACAGGUUGCAUAAUUUUCACAUCCUGAUUAUGUUUUAUAUCAGGCUGCAGACUCCUUAAACAAUUUCCA